UGGCGGACGGGUGAGUAAUGUCUGGGAAACUGCCUGAUGGAGGGGGAUAACUACUGGAAACGGUAGCUAAUACCGCAUAACGUCGCAAGACCAAAGAGGGGGACCUUCGGGCCUCUUGCCAUCGGAUGUGCCCAGAUGGGAUUAGCUAGUAGGUGGGGUAACGGCUCACCUAGGCGACGAUCCUAGCUGGUCUGAGAGGAUGACCAGCCACACUGGAACUGAGACACGGUCCAG
rnacentral:rRNA from 1 species